UACGAAGGGGGCUAGCGUUGCUCGGAAUCACUGGGCGUAAAGCGCACGUAGGCGGCUUUCUAAGUCAGACGUGAAAUCCCAGAGCUCAACUCUGGAACUGCCUUUGAUACUGGGUAUCUCGAGUAUGGAAGAGGUGAGUGGAAUUCCGAGUGUGGAGGUGAAAUUCGUAGAUAUUCGGAGGAACACCAGUGGCGAAGGCGGCUCACUGGUCCAUUACUGACGCUGAGGUGCGAAAGCGUGGGGAGCAAACAGG
rnacentral:rRNA from 1 species